GAUGAACGCUGGCGGCGUGCCUAAUACAUGCAAGUCGAGCGAACAGACGAGGAGCUUGCUCCUCUGACGUUAGCGGCGGACGGGUGAGUAACACGUGGUAACCUACCUAUAAGACUGGGAUAACUUCGGGAAACCGGAGCUAAUACCGGAUAAUAUAUUGAACCGCAUGGUUCAAUAGUGAAAGACGGUUUUGCUGUCACUUAUAGAUGGAUCCGCGCCGCAUUAGCUAGUUGGUAAGGUAACGGCUUACCAAGGCAACGAUGCGUAGCCGACCUGAGAGGGUGAUCGGCCACACUGGAACUGAGACACGGUCCAGACUCCUACGGGAGGCAGCAGUAGGGAAUCUUCCGCAAUGGGCGAAAGCCUGACGGAGCAACGCCGCGUGAGUGAUGAAGGUCUUCGGAUCGUAAAACUCUGUUAUUAGGGAAGAACAAAUGUGUAAGUAACUAUGCACGUCUUGACGGUACCUAAUCAGAAAGCCACGGCUAACUACGUG
rnacentral:rRNA from 1 species